rnacentral:rRNA from 1 species
CGGGGGGGGGUGCCUAUACAUGCAAGUCGAGCGCAGGAAGCAGGCAGAUCCCCUUCGGGGGUGAUGCCUGUGGAAUGAGCGGCGGACGGGUGAGUAACACGUGGGCAACCUGCCUGUAAGAUCGGAAUAACUCCGGGAAACCGGGGCUAAUGCCGGGUAAUCCUUUUUCUCGCAUGAGAGAGAGGUAAAAGAUGGCCUUUGGCUAUCACUUACAGAUGGGCCCGCGGCGCAUUAGCUAGUUGGUGAGGUAACAGCUCACCAAGGCGACGAUGCGUAGCCGACCUGAGAGGGUGAUCGGCCACACUGGGACUGAGACACGGCCCAGACUCCUACGGGAGGCAGCAGUAGGGAAUCUUCCGCAAUGGACGAAAGUCUGACGGAGCAACGCCGCGUGAACGAUGAAGGUCUUCGGAUCGUAAAGUUCUGUUGUUAGGGAAGAACAAGUACCGUGCGAAUAGAGCGGUACCUUGACGGUACCUAACGAGGAAGCCCCGGCUAACUACGUGCCAGCAGCCGCGGUAAUACGUAGGGGGCAAGCGUUGUCCGGAAUUAUUGGGCGUAAAGCGCGCGCAGGCGGUUUCUUAAGUCUGAUGUGAAAGCCCACGGCUCAACCGUGGAGGGUCAUUGGAAACUGGGGAACUUGAGGACAGAAGAGGAGAGUGGAAUUCCACGUGUAGCGGUGAAAUGCGUAGAUAUGUGGAGGAACACCAGUGGCGAAGGCGACUCUCUGGUCUGUUUCUGACGCUGAGGUGCGAAAGCGUGGGUAGCAAACAGGAUUAGAUACCCUGGUAGUCCACGCC